UCCAGCGAAACUGCGAAUGGCUCAUUAUAUAAGUUAUCGUUUAUUUGAUAGUACCUUACUACUUGGAUAACCGUGGUAAUUCUAGAGCUAAUACAUGCUAAAAAUCCCGACUUCGGAAGGGAUGUAUUUAUUAGAUUAAAAACCAAUGCCCUCUGGGCUCCUUGGUGAUUCAUGAUAACUCUUCGAAUCGCACGGCCUUGCGCCGGCGAUGGUUCAUUCAAAUUUCUUCCCUAUCAACUUUCGAUGUUUGGGUAUUGGCCAAACAUGGUUGCAACGGGUAACGGAGGGUUAGGGCUCGACCCCGGAGAAGGAGCCUGAGAAACGGCUACUACAUCCAAGGAAGGCAGCAGGCGCGCAAAUUACCCAAUCCCGAUUCGGGGAGGUAGUGACAAUAAAUACUGAUACAGGGCUCUUUUGGGUCUUGUAAUUGGAAUGAGUACAAUUUAAAUCCCUUAACGAGGAACAAUUGGAGGGCAAGUCUGGUGCCAGCAGCCGCGGUAAUUCCAGCUCCAAUAGCGUAUAUUAAAGUUGUUGUGGUUAAAAAGCUCGUAGUUGAACCUUGGGCCUGGCUGGCCGGUCCGCCUCACCGCGUGCACUGGUCCGGCCGGGCCUUUCCCUCUGUGGAACCCCAUGCCCUUCACUGGGCGUGGCGGGGAAACAGGACUUUUACUUUGAAAAAAUUAGAGUGCUCCAGGCAGGCCUAUGCUCGAAUACAUUAGCAUGGAAUAAUGAAAUAGGACGCGCGGUUCUAUUUUGUUGGUUUCUAGGACCGCCGUAAUGAUUAAUAGGGACAGUCGGGGGCAUCAGUAUUCAAUGGCAAGAGGUGAAAUUCUUGGAUUCAUUGAAGACUAACUACUGCGAAAGCAUUUGCCAAGGAUGUUUUCAUUAAUCAGGAACGAAAGUUAGGGGAUCGAAGACGAUCAGAUACCGUCGUAGUCUUAACCAUAAACUAUGCCGACUAGGGAUCGGACGAUGUUAUUUUUUGACGCGUUCGGCACCUUACGAGAAAUCAAAGUGCUUGGGCUCCAAGGGGAG
rnacentral:rRNA from 1 species